UACAGAGGGGGCAAGCGUUGUUCGGAAUUACUGGGCGUAAAGGGCGCGUAGGCGGCCUUCUAAGUCGAACGUGAAAUCCCCGGGCUCAACCCGGGAACUGCGUCCGAUACUGGAAGGCUUGAAUCCGGGAGAGGGAUGUGGAAUUCCAGGUGUAGCGGUGAAAUGCGUAGAUAUCUGGAGGAACACCGGUGGCGAAGGCGACAUCCUGGACCGGCAUUGACGCUGAGGCGCGAAAGCUAGGGAGCAA
rnacentral:rRNA from 1 species